rnacentral:rRNA from 1 species
AUUGAACGCUGGCGGCAGGCCUAACACAUGCAAGUCGAACGAGUGGCGGACGGGUGAGUAAUGUUUGGGAAACUGCCUGAUGGAGGGGGAUAACUACUGGAAACGGUAGCUAAUACCUCAUACCAUCAGAUGUGCCCAGGUGGGAGUAGCUAGUUGGUGGGGUAACGGCUGACCAAGGCGACGAUCCCUAGCUGGUCUGAGAGGAUGACCAGCCACACUGGAACUGAGACACGGCCCAGACUCCUACGGGAGGAAGCAGUGGGGAAUAUUGCGCAAUGGGGGCAAGCCUGAGGCAGCAAGGCCGCGUGUAUGAAGAAGGCCUUCGGGUUGUAAAGUACUUUCAGCAGGGAGGCGUUACCCGCAGAAGAAGCACCGGCUAACUCCGUGCCAGCAGCCGCGGUAAUAC